UAUAUUAUUUUAUAGUUGAGAUCCAUUGUUUUUACCGCAGCGCCACCCACUCCAGCCGACCGCCGGCUGCCAGCCUCAGUACCUGUCAUGCCCAGUCUCGCCGGCUACCGCCAUGCCGGUACCACGUAGAAGGCCGAAUAUCAUUUUCAGGGGGACUGGUCAAUCCGUUUGAUGGAGUUAAUUUAUGUAUGCUUAACCGAGCCAUGAAGAAACGUCACCAAUGGAAGCAUCAAUUCCCAUUGGAGGAAACACGGUGGCAACGGUGGAGGACGAGGAGAGAGGCCAUGGCUUCGGGACACCGAAUUUGUAUUAUUUUUUUACGAUUAGGACCUUAAGAAAUAUUUGUAUUAUUACUUUUGAUAUUCCUAUACAUAUUGUUAAAUUGAUAGAUAUUAUAAAUUUUUGUCAACUCUUUAGGUAAGGAAUGUUGUCGUAUUGGUAUUUUGAGAAUGUAAACAGUCUGAUAAAUUUAAGA